ensembl:snRNA U6 U6 spliceosomal RNA
AUGCUACUUGGGUGCCACAUAUACCAAAAUUGGAAGGAUAUAUUGAAAAUUAACAUGGUCCCUGUGCAAUGAUGACAUCAAGCUAAUGAAGUACUCCAUCAUUUU